rnacentral:lncRNA from 1 species
AGAAAAUGGGCUGAACCAAUCCACAGGCGGGGAAGAGCAGAGCCGGCCUGCCUGCCCCGGGGGGUCUGUUGCCGCUUUGGGGACCCGUGUUUGUGUAAGGAGCUCUCCUGCAGGUUCCAGGAGGAUGAAAACAUCCAAUGACUCCCAGACGUUGCUGAGCUGGACGCAUUUAUUUGUACUAACGCUCCUGGCCACACACUUCCAGAUGGACGGUCCCAAAGAGAAUCGUUUGUUUCCUCUCGUCUCCCUCCACCAUGCACUUUACGACUGCAGAGGGUCAGGCUCACCAUGUGUUUCCCUCUCAUCUCACCCGGCAUGUAUUCUCAAGGUCACCACAAGGCCCAACAUAGCUGCUGAAGCUCCAGCCAUCCUAUCUGCAUUCCAGGGAGCACCAGGAACAGAAGGCAGGAUUCCUGACCCAGAGCUUCCGUGGGACAACACAUCCCCCGUCCCCUUCCACAACAUCACAGCUGCUGGUGAAGAGGCCCCCGGGUGGGCUCCAGCUGUCAGGAGAGCAGCCUUUCUCCCAGCUUGGCCUUGGGAUGACAAAGAAGUUCGCAUGGGGUCCCUGGACAAGCACAGUGAUUCAGAUGAGCAGCAUUUUUUUCUGGCUUUAUCCCCUGCACCGAAUGAGCUAUUGGGUGAGCCUUCCUGAGCCAGUGUCAGAAGGGCUUGGUAAACGCUGAGGAAAUCUGAGGUGAGCAGACAUUGGAACAGGUGUUGCCUGGAAAUACAAAUCAGUAGCCUCUCUUCGUUCAGUGGGCAAAUAUUUGCGGACUUACGAUGUGCCGUGCGCUGACAUUAGUGCUGAGCAGACAGAGGAGGUCGCUGCUCUCGUGGAGCUUACGUGUCAGAUCGGGAAGACAAACCAUGAGCCAAUCAGCAAAUAAGACCGUUUCAAAGGGGUAAUGAAGAUGGGGUGGGCAGCAUGGUUAGCCGGCAGAGGAUUCUCCUUGGGGAAGUGGUAUUUGAGUAGAAGUUGAAUGGUGCAAAGGAUGCAGACGUGGGGAGACGGAGGGGAAGAAUGUUCCAGCAGAAGAGUGAAGGGAGCAGAGCAGACAGGAAACCAGUGAAUGUGGAGCACGGUGGACAAAGAGCCGGGGUAGGAGGUGAGGUCAGAGAGGAGGCAGGAGCCUACAUGGAGGGCAAAGAGAUCAGAGGGAAAGAUUUUGGGUUUUCAUUUAAGGGCAACAGGGAGCCCACUAUAAGUCACCGAGAGAUGCCGUCUGACUACUUUCUCACAGAUCACUUGGGAUCGUCCAUGGCAGAGGUGGCAAGAGGGAAGCAGGCAGACCAGUCUAAAGGCUUCGCAUUGGUCCAGACAUAGUGGCAGACUAGGUUUGAAUAGUGGUCAGCAAACUAUGGUCUGUGGCCUCCUGAUUUUGUAAAUAAAGUUUUAUUGGAACAUAGACACAUCCAUGUUUACACAUCGUCCGUGGCUGCUUUGGCACUGAAGGCAAGUUGAGUGACGGUAACGGAGAUCGUCAUGGCCUGCAAGGCUGAAAAUAUUUAAUCUCUGGUCCUUUACAGGAAAAGUUUACCAACCCCUGGACUAGAGGGGGAGAUGACAGGGACAUAUUUUAGGUGUUGCCAACAAGAUUUAUUGGUAGAUUGGACACAGGAGAAAGGGAAAGACAGAAUUCGAGUUCUAGGCUUUGGGCUUGAGGAUCUUGGCGGAUGGUGGCGCCACUCACUGAGACGAGAAGAUUAUGUUUGGGAAGGAAAACCUAGAAGUCUGUUGUGAGCAUGCUAUUUUGAGAUGCCUAGGGGCACAACGACAAGCAGAGCAGAGAGCGUCUUCCCGCUCACGAGUCCAUUUGGAUUCCCAGGCCACUCACAUAACUCCGUGGCUAUUAUGAAAUCGCUCGGUGAGGGACCGAGCCUUCUCAUACAGAGGUGCAUGGUCAUCGGGAGAGUCGGGAACCAAGGGGACAGAUAUUCAGAGGCACUGACACAGGAGCCCUCGCUGUGCUCAGGAAGAUCAAGAAAGCAGGAAGACAUAAU